rnacentral:rRNA from 1 species
AUUUGGCGGACGGGUGAGUAACACGUGGGCAACCUGCCUCAUAGAGGGGAAUAGCCUCCCGAAAGGGAGAUUAAUACCGCAUAAGAUUGUAGCUUCGCAUGAAGUAGCAAUUAAAGGAGUAAUCCGCUAUGAGAUGGGCCCGCGGCGCAUUAGCUAGUUGGUGAGGUAACGGCUCACCAAGGCGACGAUGCGUAGCCGACCUGAGAGGGUGAUCGGCCACAUUGGGACUGAGACACGGCCCAGACUCCUACGGGAGGCAGCAGUGGGGAAUAUUGCACAAUGGGGGAAACCCUGAUGCAGCAACGCCGCGUGAGUGAUGACGGCCUUCGGGUUGUAAAGCUCUGUCUUCAGGGACGAUAAUGACGGUACCUGAGGAGGAAGCCACGGCUAACUACGUGCCAGCAGCCGCGGUAAUAC